rnacentral:rRNA from 1 species
GGUCUCAGUCGAAUUGAAGGCUGAAAUUCGCCUUCAUGAAGUCGGAAUUGCUAGUAAUGGCAGGUCAGCAUACUGCCGUGAAUACGUUCCCGGGCCUUGUACACACCGCCCGUCACACCAUGAGAGUUGGAGAUACCCGAAGCCUGUGAGCUAACUUUUAGAGGCAGCAGUCGAAGGUAGAAUCAAUGAUUGGGGUGAAGUCGUAACAAGGUACC